GAUGUGUGUGUGUGUGUGUAUAUAUAUGUAUGUAUGUGUACACACACACACACACACACACACACACAUA